GCUCCCAGGUGGACCAGCGUCCAACGAGAGCGAGAGCUGGAGUCAGGGGGUCCGGAGGUUCAGGGCGGCCUGCGUCCGAGGGACGAGACUAGGGUCUGAGGUCCCGGGGUCCGAGUGGCCUGCGUCCGAGGAGCGAGGCUGGGGUCUGGGGUCCGGGGUUCAGGCGGCCUGCGUCCGAGGGGCGAGGCUGGGGUCUGGGGUCCGGGGUUCAGGCGGCCUGCGUCCGAGGGGCGAGGCGCGAGGCCGGGGUCCGGCUCCGGGUGCCUGCGUCUGAGGGCGAGGC
rnacentral:lncRNA from 1 species